CAAUAGCGUAUAUUAAAGUUGUUGCAGUUAAAAAGCUCGUAGUUGGAUUUCGGGGCAGCCUGGCUGGUCCGCCGCAAGGCGAGUACUGGUCAGCCGCCCUUCCUCUCGAAAGCCCCGACUGCUCUUCGUUGCAGUGGUCGGGUAGUUCGGGACGUUUACUUUGAAAAAAUUAGAGUGUUCAAGGCAGGCCUACGCCUGAAUACAUUAGCAUGGAAUAAUGGAAGAGGACCUCGGUCCUAUUUUGUUGGUUUCCAGGGCCGAAGUAAUGAUUAAGAGGGACAGUUGGGGGCAUUCGUAUUUAAUUGUCAGAGGCGAAAUUCUCGGAUUUAUGAAAGACGAACAACUGCGAAAGCAUUUGCCAAGGAUGUUUUCAUUAA
rnacentral:rRNA from 1 species